GCCUCAGUGGUCUAGUAGUAUGAUUCGCCCUUCGGGAGUUAUCCCGUAAGUUGAGGAUUAAACCUGUACUUACUUAAUGGGUGAGGCCCUGGGUUCAAUUCCCAGCUGGGGCC